rnacentral:rRNA from 1 species
UACGGAGGGUGCAAGCGUUAUCCGGAUUCACUGGGUUUAAAGGGUGCGUAGGCGGGCUUGUAAGUCAGUGGUGAAAGCCCGGGGCUUAACUCCGGAAUUGCCAUUGAUACUGCAAGCCUUGAGUACGGUUGAGGUGGGCGGAAUACAUCAUGUAGUGGUGAAAUACUUAGAUAUGAUGUAGAACACCGAUUGCGAAGGCAGCUCACUAAAGCGUAACUGACGCUGAGGCACGAAAGCGUGGGGAUCAAACAGG